UACCAGCACCCCGAGUGGUCGGGACGAUUAUUGGGCCGAAAGCAUCCGUAGCCGGUUUUACAAGUCCUCCGUUAAAUCCAGCUGCUUAACAGAUGGGCUGCGGAGGAUACUAUAAGACUAGGAGGCAGGAGAGGCAAGCGGUACUCAGUGGGUAGGGGUAAAAUCCGUUGAUCCAUUGAAGACCACCAGUGGCGAAGGCGGCUUGCCAGAAUGCGCUCGACGGUGAGGGAUGAAAGCUGGGGGAGCAAACCGG
rnacentral:rRNA from 1 species